rnacentral:rRNA from 1 species
UACGUAGGGCGCGAGCGUUGUCCGGAAUUACUGGGCGUAAAGAGCUCGUAGGUGGUUUGUCGCGUUGUUCGUGAAAUCUCACGGCUUAACUGUGAGCGUGCGGGCGAUACGGGCAGACUAGAGUACUGCAGGGGAGACUGGAAUUCCUGGUGUAGCGGUGGAAUGCGCAGAUAUCAGGAGGAACACCGGUGGCGAAGGCGGGUCUCUGGGCAGUAACUGACGCUGAGGAGCGAAAGCGUGGGGAGCGAACAGG